AGAGUUUGAUCCUGGCUCAGAUUGAACGCUGGCGGCAGGCCUAACACAUGCAAGUCGAGCGGUAGCACAGAGAGCUUGCUCUCGGGUGACGAGCGGCGGACGGGUGAGUAAUGUCUGGGAAACUGCCUGAUGGAGGGGGAUAACUACUGGAAACGGUAGCUAAUACCGCAUAACGUCGCAAGACCAAAGUGGGGGACCUUCGGGCCUCAUGCCAUCAGAUGUGCCCAGAUGGGAUUAGCUAGUAGGUGGGGUAACGGCUCACCUAGGCGACGAUCCCUAGCUGGUCUGAGAGGAUGACCAGCCACACUGGAACUGAGACACGGUCCAGACUCCUACGGGAGGCAGCAGUGGGGAAUAUUGCACAAUGGGCGCAAGCCUGAUGCAGCCAUGCCGCGUGUGUGAAGAAGGCCUUCGGGUUGUAAAGCACUUUCAGCGGGGAGGAAGGCGGUGAGGUUAAUAACCUCAUCGAUUGACGUUACCCGCAGAAGAAGCACCGGCUAACUCCGUGCCAGCAGCCGCGGUAAUACGGAGGGUGCAAGCGUUAAUCGGAAUUACUGGGCGUAAAGCGCACGCAGGCGGUCUGUCAAGUCGGAUGUGAAAUCCCCGGGCUCAACCUGGGAACUGCAUUCGAAACUGGCAGGCUAGAGUCUUGUAGAGGGGGGUAGAAUUCCAGGUGUAGCGGUGAAAUGCGUAGAGAUCUGGAGGAAUACCGGUGGCGAAGGCGGCCCCCUGGACAAAGACUGACGCUCAGGUGCGAAAGCGUGGGGAGCAAACAGGAUUAGAUACCCUGGUAGUCCACGCCGUAAACGAUGUCGAUUUGGAGGUUGUGCCCUUGAGGCGUGGCUUCCGGAGCUAACGCGUUAAAUCGACCGCCUGGGGAGUACGGCCGCAAGGUUAAAACUCAAAUGAAUUGACGGGGGCCCGCACAAGCGGUGGAGCAUGUGGUUUAAUUCGAUGCAACGCGAAGAACCUUACCUGGUCUUGACAUCCACAGAACUUUCCAGAGAUGGAUUGGUGCCUUCGGGAACUGUGAGACAGGUGCUGCAUGGCUGUCGUCAGCUCGUGUUGUGAAAUGUUGGGUUAAGUCCCGCAACGAGCGCAACCCUUAUCCUUUGUUGCCAGCGGUUAGGCCGGGAACUCAAAGGAGACUGCCAGUGAUAAACUGGAGGAAGGUGGGGAUGACGUCAAGUCAUCAUGGCCCUUACGACCAGGGCUACACACGUGCUACAAUGGCAUAUACAAAGAGAAGCGACCUCGCGAGAGCAAGCGGACCUCAUAAAGUAUGUCGUAGUCCGGAUUGGAGUCUGCAACUCGACUCCAUGAAGUCGGAAUCGCUAGUAAUCGUAGAUCAGAAUGCUACGGUGAAUACGUUCCCGGGCCUUGUACACACCGCCCGUCACACCAUGGGAGUGGGUUGCAAAAGAAGUAGGUAGCUUAACCUUCGGGAGGGCGCUUACCACUUUGUGAUUCAUGACUGGGGUGAAGUCGUAACAAGGUAACCGUAGGGGAACCUGCGGCUGGAUCACCUCCUU
rnacentral:rRNA from 1 species